CCGCGUUUGACAAAUAUAGUCCUUUCUGAUUCAUUUGUGCUGAGUUGUUGCAGAUUGAACAGACCCCCUGUCCAGAUAGAACAGGUACCGGAACCAUCAUAAGUAUAAGCAGUGCAAGAGCAAUCGGUGAAACAUGCAGAUCUACACUGUGAGGCUUCCCCAACUGUGAUAUUAGUAUCUUGAGAAGAAGGUACUCUCACAAUUGAAGUUAUCCAUAAACUAUCUGUGUCUUCAGUAAUUGCAUUACACUGCACCUUUUGGUCUCUUACACAGCCACCAGAGUAAUCAUUAGAAUUCCAUUCUGUAUCUGAUCUUUGCUUGAAACCACUCAAACAAUUGCAGGGUGCAUUAGCCUCACCACAAACUCCAAAUGCCCCACAUAUAGCAUAAACCUGACAAGAUUCUCUUGGUUGAGACCAGAAUAAAUUCCAUUGAAAUCUAUUACCCAACCAUGUUAGUUGCUUAAUUUGUCCCGAGACACCCAUGGUGAAUAUUGAUAAGAUUGGACUAUUGUAAAGGGAAUAUGUAAAAUAUGACUCAUUCUCAUUGUCGAUGUAGCUGAAAUUAUGUAUGUAGUUUGUCGUCAUCUCAGGUAUUGCGCUGAACAUUCGGCUAUUCCAUGAACCACUUGCCCAAUACUCUGUAGUCCUAUUCCAUUUUAAAACAAAUUGAGUAUUCUUUGGGUCCAUUUCCAUAGAAUACAAUCCUGGUGCUGGAUCACUCGAAUUCUUCCAUGAUACCAAAACCUGUUUUCUUUGUGUACGUUUGUCAUAUCCAAUCUUAGCACCAGGCAUAAAAGUGUGUGUUGGGUGAUCAAAACUUUGCCAAAGUAGUAAGGGUGUUGAUGAAUUUGACACAUCACUCAAAAUCAAAUUUCCAUCAUCACGAAGAAGUGCAGUAACUGAAAUAUCUGGAUUGAUGUUUCCAGCAAGUGCCGACCAAACUACGCCUUGAAAUCUAUCAUGAAGCACCAGGUUUCCUUGACUAAUUUUCAUCUCAGCAGCACCAUAAUCAAGUGGUUUAUCCCUAUUUGCUACCCAAAUUACUGUUUGCGAUAAAAUAACGUUCUUGUACCAUAUGCCUAGAUAAUAUUUAAGAGAGUUACCUGGUCUGAAAAAACCAAGCUCAAAUAUCUCACCUGAAGAGACUAGAGUUUCACCAUAAGAAAGAGAUUCAUUCGCAGAAAUGGUGUCCCUUGCGAUACAGAGAUUAUUGUUGAGACUGAAGCAUAAAAAGAGUAGCAGAAAGUAAUGAGUGUUCUUCAUUUCCAUGGUACGUAGAGAAGUUGAUUGACUACUGAAAGAAUGAGAGAAAAUAAGGAGUGCAAAGUGUUUACGGAAGGAGAUUUUUCUUCUUUGGAGUCCAUGAAACUAGUCAAAACAAGUUUCUUGUUUUAUUGCUAAUAAAUAUACGUUGAUUAUUCUUACUUCUAGCAUACGUUGAUUGUUUCAAAAUAGGUGUGGAAAAAAUAUCUAGUCAUUCAUUCCACUCUGGGUGGUUGUGAUUUGUGAAAAUUAAGCAUACAAAAAAAACAUUAAUGCAUGUUUGUAAAGUCAUUUUGAUUAUCGGUUUUGGUGUAAUUGAGUGUAAUUACACUCUCUAACAUAUUUGGCUGGUCAUGUAAAUAUUCAGCAAAUAAUAGGAUGUAAUUGACAUGGGUAACUACACUCUCCGAUUCUCAGGUGUAAUUGAUCUUUAUUUUUAAUGUUUCCCGUAGAUGUAAUUACUUAAGGAUUUUUUUUAUUCAAUUGAGACUAGUUGUGUGAGGUUUCUAUUUGUCUCGUAAAAAUGUAGACUUGAAUCUUACCUUUUGGGUUAACAAACUUUAGGUCUACUUUCUGUGAGAGAAAAAAUCUCACACAAUAAUAUUAACUCUUGGAAAUAUAGUAUCAAUAUUUGGUGUCACCCUCCUUAAUUUCGAAAUGGUGGAAGUGAAACUCAAGGAAAUAUUUCUUGCUCCGUUCCUAUUUAUAUAUCACCAUUUUAGAUUUUACGUGCAUUACGAAACUAAGUAAGUUUACUAUUCUACUCUUAUUUAAUGUUUUCUUAAAGUUAAGUUUUCAAUCAAUGAACGUAAAUUUAAUUUAUUUUGAUUAAUUAAUUUGAUCAAUUGACAUAAAUUAUUUACUUAAUUUUUUUAUGUUGAUCAAAUGUAUAUUUUCAAGAUCAAUAACUCAUAACAAUAAAUAGGAAGAAUAAUGUCAAUGCAUUAAUUUUGUGAAAUGACAAAUAUUAAGAACCAUCUAUUUUAGUAAGGACGACAUAUAAAUAGGAACGCAGGGAAUAAUAAAUAAUGCAAGUGGAUCUCUACAAAAAUGGUGUCUCCUCCUUGCAAAAGAUUAUCGGUAGAAUGAGUGAUUGUUUGAAGACAAGAUAAUGAAAAUGAAAAAGAGACUUUUCUGCUUGGAGUUGGAAAUUUUUAUCUUUGGUCUACUUUUCUUUAGUCUUCCAACAGUCAAUAUCAACCUUCUAUUAUGACUAGAUAAAGAAAGGUUCAUUUAUGGGUUUAAUAUUAUAAUUUUAAAGAUUGGGGUCUGCUCUUUCUUUUUUGGGAGAGUAUGCCAAUAUGAUCUUAAUGAGGUACGGGGCUUUGCAUCUGACAUUCGUUGGGCUUCUCUCUUCGGGAGCCUGCGCCCCGGCCUUUUUGUUCAAUAAACCCCUCCGGCCGAAGACUAGUGGCCCAAAAAAGCAAAACCUCACUAGACUGAGGCCCAUUGCUAUAGGGGUCUCGGCUUCCAUAAAAAAAAGUUAGUAACUUCUACGCUAGUCUUCACAAUUACUCCACUUCCCAGUCUCAGUAGUGGUUGCAGGUGCACAUGAAGAAGACUUGGAUAAAGGCACAUAUGAGUAGCAGAAUGGAAGAUUGGCUUUUUAGAUAAGGUUUCGUUAUAAGUAUUUAAUUAGAUUUUUAGAAAGAAAAGUUAUUAUUACUAUUUUCAAACAAACACGAUAGUAAAUGAUAAAUAAGAAGUACUUGUCAUUUCAUAUUAGUUUCUUAGUUUUCCUCACAUGCAUUACACCAAUAAUACUAUACAAUAGUUAACAUGUACACAUUGCAUACUUUGGAAAACAACGAAUCAUUAUCUACCCGAAGGAUUUCUUCUUGAAUAUUCCUAGCAUAAUACAAUCAUCCCAAAUACCUUUCCUAAGACAACGCCUAGCCAUAUCCUACCGUCAACCAUAACCAGUCAGCCCAUCAUAGCCUAAACUAUAGGUAAACCACACAUUCAACCAGCUAGACUCUGUAUCCGAAGACUUAUGCAUGAACUUCUCUGACAAUCUACACGAUACUAUACUAGUAAAUACAUAUCUAACUACUCAGUUAAGAAAAUCUAACCUACCUGAGCGACGAUCAACUGCUGAAGAACUAAGAACACGAGUCUCCGUCUUUGUAAGGGUGAAUCUUGACGGACGUAGAUCAGAAUUCCUUAGUUUUGACCCUCCUUGCGGUUAGAAUCCCUCCUCUCCAAGUUCUUCAAGCUUUGAAGGCUUUUAGAGUAACCCGCAUCUAUUUUAUCCUUGAAGGAGGUGAUAAAUAUAAAAGAAUUCGUAUUUCUGAGAUUUUGCACUGCCUGAUCCACUAUAUCGGUUGGCACGCCACUGCAGCGAUGUCGCGAGGAAAUUCUCGCUAUGAAGGGAUGACAUCAGCUCAAGUCAGAAAUCAAUUUCCAAAAUUUGUCGUAUCAUCCCAAUUUAAAUUGGCGGUGAGUUUUCAAAUAAAAUAUUCAGGAUUUCGCACGAGGUGCCUUUGAGUAACGAUGGAACUGGUCAUUACAUUUUCAUUCCCCUUUCAUUAUUUGAUUGUCUUAUUAAUGAAUACUAGCUAGUAUAUGUGCUCGCGCGAUGCGCGAAUAAUAUUGAAGCGUUAUUUCUAAACACUUUAGAAUGUGAUAUUUUGUUCGAACAUGUUAAAUGACAUUACCUUCAAAACAAAAUCAAACUGUACAUCAUAUUGUUCCUCAAUGAAAUACACACCCUCUUCUCCCCACGUCCUGCCUCAUCCAACAUCAUAUCUCCCAUAAUAAAUCUAUACGAAUAGAGACAAUGAAUCAAGUUUUAAAUUGUUAAUAUUAAUUUUUUAUUAUCUUCAUUUGGCUUACUAUAAUUAUCAAGUGCUCUUCUUAUUAUAUUAAUUAAUACAACCAAAUCUAGUUAAAUUGUUAAUGUAUUGAUCAAUAAUUGUGAAGUCUUCCAAAUGGUCAUACUUCUGUAUUAUGUAAAAUUUAUUGUUCUGUCCACAAAAAAAAAAUUAGUUUUUUAUGUCUUUUUCAAAUUUUAAGCACCGCAACAAGUCAAUGAUAUUUCAAUAUCAUUAUAUCUACUUAAAAAAUUCAAUGCAACACUAUUUCAGUAUCAUUAUAUCAACUUCUAAAAUUCUUGAGGGAGAUUUUAUAAUUCUAACUUGAUAUUAUAUUUUCAUUGUUUACAUUCUUACUUUAUAAGGUUUGCGUACAUCAUAUCCUCUCCAAACCUCACUUGUAGGAUUAUUGAGUAUGUUAUUGUUAUUCAAUUUAUAUAUGUCUAUAAAAAGAAAAAAAAUUAAGCCCUCUCUGUGAAAUUUGACUUUAGACCGCAAUCUUCUUGAGACGACACUACUUUUAUGAGCUUGUGGGAAUAUAGGCAAACCUGAUAAGGCCUCUUUUACUGGAUGAAUAUUGUUUUAUCAUGGAUUUCAAUUUGUUACCACGUAGUGGUGUAUAGAGGUGACAAAAUUAAACUCAAUUCACUUAACUUGCUUAAUCCAUUCAAGUUUGAGUGAGUUAUUGACUCACUUAUUUAUUAGGUCAUUUCAUUUCAGUCCAUUAAUAAUUGGAUUGAUAUGUAAUCCAAAUUAGCUCGGGAGAAAUCUCGUCAAAAUAUGUUUUACUUAAUAUGUUAUAUAUAUAAUAAUAAUAAAGAAAAUAAUAAUUGUAUUAGCUACUAAAAAAUUAUAGAAGAACAAAGUAAGGAAAAAUUACAAGGAUAUUGCGUUUAAGACUUUAAUACUCUUUUUUAUUUACAAAAUUAAGUUUUUAAUUACAAAUAUAGAAAUUUAAAGUACUACACAUUUUUUUUUUUUUUUUUUUUUUUUGGGGGGGGGGGGGGNNNNNNNNNNNNNNNNNNNNNNNNNNNNNNNNNNNNNNNNNNNNNNNNNNNNNGGGGUUAAUGUGCCUAUCUUUUGGGACUCAUAACACGCCCAUUAUUCAUCUCAAUAACAAGAAUAUUCUCUUAUUAAUAGGAUAUGUUUCUCUCUCUUAUUACUUUCUCAUCUCUUCCAUUAUUAGUAUCUAGGUAAAACCUCUAUUCUUGAUAUUAAUAUUUUUGGUUCUUUUCUAUUCUUGCUUCUUUUUUUUAAAUCACCUCUAAUUCAAAAACAAAAAUUGUUUUUGUUAUUAACUUUUACUAUGAAAAUUUCAUGAAUUCUACUCCUAGAAAGAGCAUUAGGUCAAGGCUUGACGCAAUAUCAACAAUCCCAUCUUAUGUUCUAAAUUAUGUUUUGAGUUGAAUGCAUUCACUCUAUUUUCCAUGAAUAUGAAAGAGUAAUUCAUGCCACAAAUAGUGAAAUUUCUUUCUCUGUUACAACUAAUUCGCCAAAAGAAAAAAGUAAGGAGAAAGAUGUUAGUGCAAAUUCUCUCAUUAUUACCUUCAAAUCGGCAAAGGUAAGGAGAAAAAGUUACAACUGUUAAUUCGAAAAAGAUCUGGAUGAUCAUAGUGAAUAUGAUUUGUAUCAUGUAAUCCAUAAAUAUCGAAAUAAUUUUUAAACACAAUUUGUUUUAGUGCAUACACGUUAGUGACCAAUUUGGUACAAUUGUUGAUGAUAUGUUUUUUUAAAAUAGUAAUAUGUAUUAAUCUUUAGUGACUGAUCUAGUACAAUAAUUGGUGAUUUGUUGAUUUUUAACUGUUAUAUAUUUUAAUGUCUAUAGUUUGAUAGAUGAUAUAGUUAAAAUAUUGAUAAUAUGUUGAUUUAAAUUUGAUGGAUGGUUGGCUAAUAUUUUGGUGAUAUGUUGGUUUAGAACUAUAAUAGAAAUUGAUUUAUAAUUGAUGAUAAGUUUGAUUUUAGUUAUAUGUUUCAACCCUACAAUGCGUAACACCAUAAUCUAAUCAAGUAUAUACCAAUUUUUUAGUAUCAUCAAGUUAAUUUAUAUGGUGUACAAUGUGGUGUAACCUUUGUGUCAAGUUCAAAUUUAAUAACUACAACAAUUACAAAUAAUUGGUGGAUUUGUUGGUUAAAAAUAAAUGGCGAUUUGUUGAUUUAAAGUUGCAAUAUGUAUAGUGUUAUAUAUGAGUAGUAAAUUGCAUAGAUGGUUUUUUUUUCCCAGUAAGUUAUUAAAAUGUAAUACAAAUUGAGCGGGUUGAGUUAUGACCCUUACUGUAGCCCAUUUCAACCCAAAUAAAUUUUGAACAAAACGAUAACUUGCAUAUUUAUUAGUAUAAAAUACUUAGCGUCCCGCCAUUCUUUCUUGUUAGCACUGGAAAUCUAACACAUUCUACGGUAGAACUCUUAUAAAGUGAAAAGUCGUUCUUUAGUUAAAGCAGAAGAACAGAAACUGAGGGAAAAAAUCUAUGUAAACUCCAACAAUUUGGGUGCUAGUUACAUCUUAUCUCGAAAUUUUUUCAAAUUACAAUAAUUUCGAAUUUUUUAGAACUCGUGAAUAUAUUGCUCCUUCCCCCAAUAUAUAACAAACGACUCAUAAUUUUUGUAUCAGAUAUAUAAAUUAUGUAUCACAUACAUUACUAUAAACCAGACUCAUACUGAUUUAGAUAUGAAAUAAUUGAGAUUAUGUAUAACGAUAACAUUUAUAAUUAUCUAAUUUUCUCUAUUUAUGAACUCAGCCUAACUUAACACAUCAAAAUUGAGUUUAACCCGGUCCAUUUGAUACACUAGUGGUGCAUAAGGCUGCGCAACGGACCGGAACGGAACCAUCGGAACGAACCGAUAUCGGAACGGGACGGUUUGACCGGUUUGUUGAUCGGUACCGGGAUGAAUCGGAUCGGAAUUAUCGGGACGGAUACUCGGUUUCGUCCCGUCCUACUAUAUACCGGGAUGGAAUCGGAAUGGAUCGGAAUGGAACGGGAUGGGAUAAACGGGACAACACAUCUAGAUAUUUCAAAAAAUGAUAAAAAAAUUUUUUAGUUUUUUUUACUUUUUGAUUACGAAAAUAUGAAUGUUUUUUUUAUUUUUCUAAGUUUGAACUUUAAAUUAAUAGUUUUGAAAUUUAUAAAUUAUAAUGUAAUUUUACUUAAGUUUAUUUUAAAGAUAUUUUUAAAAUUUUUUUACCUAUUAAGUCUACAAGUUAAGUUUAAUAAAGUUUUUUUAAAAGUUUUUUAGCUUAGUUUUCAAAUUUCAAGAUUUGAAUCUUUUGAAGUUUAUAAGUUAUUACUUAUUAAUAUGUUAUAACUUAUAAGUUAUAUAUAUAAUUUGUAAUUUAAAUAACUUAAGUUUGUAAUUUAAAAAAAUAAAUAAAAAUAAGAAUAAAACAAUGACACAAUCACACAAAUUUUAAGAAAAUAAAAAAAACUUUUGAAUCUUGUAGAUUUAAUUAAAGAUAUAUAUAGAAUAUAUCAAAACACAUUUUAAUCUUAUAGUCUGAAACAUGUUAUAUGAAUUGUUUUUAUAAAUUUAUUUAAAGAUAUAUAAAAUAUAUCAAAAUACAUUUUAAUAUUAAAAUCUUAAAUAUGUUACACACAAAUUUUUGCUAAAAACAAGAACAUUAAAGGAAAGAAAAACAAGCCAUUUUAAAACGUAGAAAGUACUACUUAAUAAAUAUAUUGUUUCAUGUUUCUCACUCAAUGCGUUCGAUAUGUGUUUUGAAAUAUCAAUUAAUUUGAAUUUACAUUGCACAAACUCAUUAAAAGUAAGGGCGGAUCAAUAUCAUUGAUGAUCUAAAGCCAAAUUGCAAUUUAUUUUAUUUUUUUCAAAGAAAAAUUNNNNNNNNNNNNNNNNNNNNNNNNNNNNNNNNNNNNNNNNNNNNNNNNNNNNNNNNNNNNNNNNNNNNNAUAUAAUUUUUAUUUAAAGUCUGUUUUCUAACUUUUUAAAACUAAAGUUAUAAAUAAUUAUUUUAUAAUCAACUUGAUCUUCUAAUAUUAUUUUUUCUUCAAUUAGUAAAAUAGUAGCAAUCUAUUCAACAUUUUUUUUCAAACAUUUCAAAUAUCAAACAUUGGAAAAGUUAUAUAUUUUAUUUUUUUAUAUAUAAAUUAUAAUAGAAAAUAUAAAUUAAUUAAUAAAAAAUAAUUAACCGAAACCGGACCGGAACGGAACCGGAACAAACCGGGAUAAACCGGUACCGGUACACCGGUAUCAAAUCAUGAUACCGUUUCGUCCCGUGUACCAGUUCACGGUGUCCCGUUCCAUCCCAAAGACUACCGGACCGGAAUGGUACCGGUACCGGUACAACCUGGUCCGGUGACCAGCCUUAUCAGACUUCACUGGUGCACAUCCUUCGUGUUGUCUUCCUUGACAUUUCAGCCCAUUCAAAAAAUUAUACUUUCCAUCACCAAAUAGCUUGAUUUCAUCCCUUUUAGGCAACCAUUAGUCCAGGAUUGGUAUUACAUAUUCUAUAUAUUUCCAAUUGCAUCCAAUUGCAAGUUUUGGUAGGUUAGGGAUCUCCAUUUUGUUAUUGGUCCGAUCGGUCUGCUCUGAGCUUCUUCAACUGUAAGUGCUCCACUCUUGUUGUUGUAGAAUCUAUUCAAAUCACUACUUGCUUGGGAUUGAGGAGGCAGAGUAGUUAUUGUUGUGUUGAGUCUAUUGAAACGAGGACUGGACUGGAUGGACUGGUUAUGAUUCUCCAAAGUCCGAGCUACUGGUUGAAUGCUUGAGUAAAUGCCUAGUGAACAUUAUGUUCUUGCAUUCACAAGCUAAGUAAAAAAUAAGUUAUCUGUUUUAACGAUAAUCAAGAGAUAAAAAAGAAGAUUAGGCAAAGCUAGAUAUUUGUAAAUGUAAGGGUUGUGUGCUCUUGUUUAAUGUCCACGGUCUCGUCAUGCUCUUGGUUGUGUCUGUUAGAGUGGGUAAAAGUCCACAUUGGUUGGGAAUGGACGGGUGGUCUCUUAUAUGGACUUUGGCAAUUUUUCCCUCAUGAGCUAGCUUUUGGAGCAUGAGUCAGACCUAAGACCUAAUUUAAUAUAGUAUCAGAGCCAAGCCCAUCUCAAUUUGUUGUUCACCGAUGUUGGCCCAUCAGUAGAGGGAUGAGAGAUUGGUCUCUUUAUAUGGACUUAGACAAACCUCCCCCAAUGAACUAGCUUUUGGGGUAACUUUUAUGCUCAUAUCUUAGAUCUUUAAUUAAAUGAAAAACCUCUUUCAUGAACUAAUCCAAAGUUUCUUCUAGGUUAAAUUUCAUUGUGUAUAAUGGGAAGAAACUUCAGCUUCUCUCUUUAUCUAAAGUACAGAAGUUUGAAAGCUGUCUUUCCUCAACAAACAGACAACAGGUAUGAGUAAGAAACUUAAUUUUAUAUAUAUAUAUAUAUAUAUUUCCACCCAAGUUGGAUCAGGUCUCUAUUUGCUAAGUGUUGUGUCAUAUCUGGAAAGUUCCCGGAAAAGGCAUGCAUGGAUUUGCCUAGUUACAUUGGAAAGAAGCACUUGAGACUUAAGUUAGUGAUAAAGUUUCAACAAGGUGGCUUUAAAUAAAUACAGUUUGUUAAAAAGAUUUGCACUAGUGAAUCAAUCGUGUCUACUUUUUAUGUUGCACAUUCUGUUGAUCGAUACUUCAGACAUUUGUUUUGCAGUUUUGUUCUUUAAGUGCAACUCCUUUCUUUGUUUCUUUCCUCAAUGCUGUUUUCAUGCAUUCUCUGGACAAACUUUUCUCUCUUUUGGGGGAGGUGGUUGGGCCAAUAAGAUAUUGAAUAAGAAAGAAAAAUUACAUUGCUUGUACAUUUGAAGGCAUCAGGAAUAAUCAAAUUACUCUUGUACUUGAUUGCUAAGACCUACUACAUUCUAAAGCAAAAUUGUAUAUGUUUUGAGUACAAACACUUGAAAGUUUUCCCAACAUUUCCACCUUUUGUCCUAACUAUUAUAGAGAAGACGACAUUUGGCCAAGUACCGACACACAAUUAUCCCUGGACUCUUUUAGGACCAAAGUAGAGGUUAACAAGGAUAAAAAAGUAUAAUAUGGCUCAUCUUUAAGUCCUAGCUAGUGCCACCCCUAGCCCUUUCCAUACGAAUUAAAUGCCUUCACUAUUCCUGCUAACGUCCUUCUUCAACUGUAAUCGUCACCUGAUUGUUGGAUACGAUGUAUUUCUUAUCGGAGGAAGAAGAAGAUGUACUAGAAGCAUGUGUCCUUAUUACAAAAGCUGGUCUAUUAGGUGUUGGAAGGUUAGUACCUUCCCCUCCCAGCAUUAAAAUGACAUCUGACAUAUUAGGACGAUGAUUUGGAUCUUCUUGUACACACAGGAGUGCAAUAUUUAUGCACUUCAAUGCUUCACUUUUGUUGCAUGAUUCAAGUAGUGACUUCUCUAUUAAUUGUAUCUCAGUUUUUUCUGUCCACAAUUUCCAUGCCUGUGAUAAUUUUUCUAUCAGAGAAACAAAGCUAAGAAGAAGAUAUAAUAAUUAAGUCAUGGGAAGUUUCUUCACUUACAUAGCCCAACAAGUUUAAGGCUUCUUCUGACUGAUAAAAUCCUGUAUUCCUUCUUCCACUGAUUAUCUCAAGUACGACUACUCCAAAACUGAAUACGUCUGAUUUGAUGGAAAACAAUCCAUCUAGUGCAUAUUCAGGAGACAUAUAGCCGCUAGAUUUCAUCAGGUGAACAAAACAUUUGAGUAUAAGAUCUUAUCCAAAGCUCCUUUUGUAAGAAAUUAAUGACAGGAAGAGAUAUAAUACUUACUAGGUCCCCACUACUUUCUUUGUAUUUGCUUCUGUUACUUUUCCUUCAACAAUCCUUGCCAAGCCAAAAUCUGAAAUUUUCGGGUUCAUCUCCUCAUCUAAUAAAAUGUUACUGGUUUUUAAAUCUCUAUGAAUGAUCCUUAGUCGUGAAUCAUGGUGAAGAUAAGAUAGACCCCGUGCAAUGCCCAGUAUGAUGUCAUAACGUUUCUUCCAAUCCAAUAAUUGACAAAGUGUUCCAUCUUGCAUCGUUACCAUGACAAAGUUUGGUACGUCAAUAAAAUUAGAUCAUUAUAAGAAAUGUAUGACUUUGAGAAUAAAGAACUUAACAAGGCUAACUCACCAAAUAUGAAUGUAUCUAAACUUUUAUUCGGCAUAUAUUCAUAAAGUAAUAUUUGUUCCGUUGCAUUGAUGCAAUAACCCAAUAGCCUCACCAGAUUUCGAUGUUGAAGCUUUGCAAUUAGAGUCACUUCAUUCUUAAAUUCAUCUAUGCCUUGUCCUGAUUGACUGGAUAACGUUUUUACUGCAAUUUCUUUUUCGCCCGGAAAGAUACCCUGCAAAAAAAAUUCAUCUCAUUACUAUAGGUCAAUAUGGCCAUGCCAGUCCAUAUAGAUGUAGGAAUGAAGUUUGAACCUUGUAAACAGGACCGAAUCCUCCUUGUCCGAGCUUAUUCGCAUUUGAGAAGUUGUCUGUAGCUUCCAAAAUAGUCUCCAAGUGAAAAUAUGGAACAUCAAUCGCUUCAUCACUGUUUUCAUUCAUUAAUACUUUUGCUUCUCCUUCAGCUUUGUGCCAGUGAGAUUUAUGUGCCCCUUGAAUACCUUUACUUCUAUCUGAUUGAGAAUGACCUUUGAAAGUAAGUUCAAAAUGCUAUAAGAGAAAAUAUCUUUCAGAGUAAGAUUCAUUCAGCAACUACCUGCUCUUUUUGCAAUUCUUCUUUUAUAGUAAAUGUAGCUAAUGCUGCCUAUGAGUAGAAACAUCAAAACUGAUAUUGACGAAAGGAUUGCUUUUAGCUUCAUCGACUUCUUAGCUUUAGUUUGAGCUGAAAGGAGAAUCAUUGUUGUUAAGUGCUAAUGGUUAAUAAGGAAUUCUAUCCAUAACAUAGUACUUAUAUGAAAUAAAGAAUCAAGCUAUGUUAAUAUGCUAUUCUAACCUUCAGGUGAGCCGCGUUUGACAAAUAUUGUCCUUUUUGACUCAGUUGUGCUGAGUUGUUCCAGAUUGAACAGAUCCCCUGUCCAGAUGGAACAGGUACCGGAACCAUCAUAAGUAUAAGCAGUGCAAGAGCAAUCGUUGAAACAUGCAGAUCUACACUGUGAGGCUGUCCCAACUGUGAUAUUAGUAUUAUGAGAAGCAGGUACUCUCACAAUUGAAGUUAUCCAUAAACUAUCUUUGUCUUCAGUAAUUGCAUCACACUGCACCUUUUCGUCUGUUACACAGCCACUGGAAUAAUCAUUUGAAUUCCAUUCUGCAUCUGAUCUUUGCUUGAAACCACUCAAACAAUUGCAGGUUGCAUUAGCUUCAUCACAAACUCCAAAUGCCCCACAUAUAGCAUAAACCUGACAAGAUUCUCUUGGUUGAGUCCAGAAUAAAUUCCAAUCAAUGCUACCAUCCAACCAUGACAGUUGCUUAAUUUGUCCCGAG
rnacentral:lncRNA from 1 species